ACACCGGCAGCUCUAGUGGUAACAAUUUUUAUUGGGCCUAAAGCGUCCGUAGCCGGUUUAAUAAGUCUCUGGUGAAAUCCUGUAGCUUAACUGUGGGAAUUGCUGGAGAUACUAUUAGACUUGAGACCGGGAGAGGUUAGAGGUACUCCCAGGGUAGAGGUGAAAUUCUGUAAUCCUGGGAGGACCGCCUGUUGCGAAGGCGUCUAACUGGAACGGUUCUGACGGUGAGGGACGAAAGUUAGGGGCGCGAACCGGAUUAGAUACCCGGGUAGUCCUAACUGUAAACGAUGCGGACUUGGUGUUGGGGUGGCUUUGAGCUGCUCCAGUGCCGAAGGGAAGCUGUUAAGUCCGCCGCCUGGGAAGUACGGUCGCAAGACUGAA
rnacentral:rRNA from 1 species